rnacentral:rRNA from 1 species
GACGUAGGGCGCGAGCGUUGUCCGGAAUCAUUGGGCGUAAAGCGCGUGUAGGCGGCCCGGUAAGUCCGCUGUGAAAGUCGGGGGCUCAACCCUCGAAAGCCGGUGGAUACUGUCGGGCUCGAAUCCGGAAGAGGUGAGUGGAAUUCCGUGGUGUAGCGGUGAAAUGCGCAGAUAUCAGGAGGAACACCAAUGGCGAAGGCAGCUCACUGGGACGGUAUUGACGCUGAGACGCGAAAGCGUGGGGAGCAAACAGG